UGAGGAAUAUUGGUCAAUGGGCGCAAGCCUGAACCAGCCAUGCCGCGUGCAGGAUGAAUGCCCUAUGGGUUGUAAACUGCUUUUAUUUGGGAAUAAACUCUCUUACGUGUAAGAGCCUGAAGGUACCAAAUGAAUAAGCACCGGCUAACUCCGUGCCAGCAGCCGCGGUAAUACGGAGGGUGCAAGCGUUAUCCGGAAUCAUUGGGUUUAAAGGGUCCGCAGGCGGGAAUAUAAGUCAGUGGUGAAAUCUCAUAGCUUAACUAUGAAACUGCCAUUGAUACUGUAUUUCUUGAAUUCGGUCGAAGUGGGCGGAAUAUGACAUGUAGCGGUGAAAUGCUUAGAUAUGUCAUAGAACACCGAUAGCGAAGGCAGCUCACUAGGCCUGGAUUGACGCUCAGGGACGAAAGCGUGGGGAGCAAACA
rnacentral:rRNA from 1 species